rnacentral:tRNA from 2 species
GCCGGCUUAGCUCAGCUGGUAGAGCAGCGGUUUUGUAAACCGAAGGUCGGGGGUUCGAUUCCCUCAGCCGGCG